CGAGCCCAAGAUUUAAUUGAACAAACUGCAGGCCAACCAUCUUAAUAAUUCCAGCCCAUUCCUCUUAAUUAAUCUGGGCCCAGGCUCUUAAUUUAUUUUAAUUAUUGGCCCAACAUAUACUAAUUUGAGGUUGGCCCAAUACAAAAACAAAAGAUAGCCCAACACAUUACUCCUCCCAUUUCCAUCGGAUCUCCCUUUCUCUCUCAUUUCCAUUUUACAAGUUUCCCCAAAUUUAGAAUGGAAAACCCCUAGAUUCAUCUCUCUCCCAUUCUCGGAUUCUCGCCGUCAGUUCGGAGAUCCGGCGGUAGAACACUGCCUUCCAGCUCUCCGUCGAGCUGCGGUCCUUCCGUGUCUCACGUCGUCGCUUGCGGAGGUCGCUGCUGGACAGACGGGCUGCUGUGCAGCCGGGACAACCUGCUGUCGUCGCACCGCCUGCCCGCCGCCUCGACGACUGCCCCGUCGUCUUCCCCGGUGAUCACCGAAGUUCCGACGGUGUCCUACGUCCAUCGGCUCCAUUUCUCUGCGAUUCAAUCGCCAUCUCCGGCAAAACUCCUAAAGCUAAGUUUAAAAGAUCCUCCUUUUAAAGCUAAGUCCUUUAAUCAUCUACUACUUGCUGGAAUAGGUUCAUUAUAUGUAGUUCCUCCUUGGCAGUUGCUUGUGAGAUUUAAAAUUCUUGCAUUUGUUUAUUGUGGUGAAACUUGGUUGGGUUUGCUAUUACUGAGUUUGGGUAAAAGACAGCAGCGGGCAGCCUGUUGUUUCUCUUGUUUCAUUAUGUAGUAAAGCUCUAAACUUUCUUGUCCUAAGCAUGGCAUCCGAAACAAGGCAGGGGAGUGUUAAUGUUUUCAUUGUUCUUCCAUUAUCCUAUCAUGCUGUUAAGAUCUGAAGUGGUGGUGCUCUAAACAUGCUUGUGCUUGGUUUUCUACUGAUUUUACUUGGGAUUUAGCAUGCUAUUUGAGGUUUCUAAGUUGUGGUGCUUCUAUUUGAUGCUAAGUUGUAGCGUGUUUUACCUGUUGAAAGCUGCGGCUGCUUUGAAAUUCAGCUCCUAAAACCUCAGCUCUCUUACUCUCAAACUUGUUAUGUUGCUGGAAAAAUUUCAAGUAUGUGGAAGUGAGUUCAUAGGUGGUGUGGAGGGAGUUUUUAUAGGCAGAGUGUGUACACUUGAGCCUUAGUUGGAGCUGUUGUAUUUCUUUGUUAUUUUCCUGCAGCAAAUCCUCCUCUUUUUUGAUCCUGCAGCAAACAAGGACUAUUGCAUUUAUGUUAUUUGUUGGUUUUGCAGGUGUGGAGGGAAGAGGAGAGUGCAGGCUGCCUUUGCCUCUUUUGGCAUGGUGUCUUUCUAUCAAACUUGUGAUGUAUUGGGAAGAAAAGCUGGCUCAUAAGUUGACUGAUUUUGAACAUAGGGGCCGAGCUAAGGGUUUGGGCCUGAAGAGGAAGCCCAAGAAUGCAACUAUUUAGAAUUGUAAUUUCUUAAGCUUUUGGCCCAUACUUGUGUAUUUUGUAACAGCACCCAUCACUAUAAACGCUUUCAGACAUACACCAUAUGUAACACUUGAACGUAUAGUCGUAUACAUAAACCACAUGAAACAAACACGAUUGAUCAAAA